rnacentral:lncRNA from 1 species
UUUUUCUUUUCGUUUUUCGUUCUCUUUUUUUUUUUAAAACACGUGGGCUUCGCCUAGCGAGCAUGACAGCUCAUGAACAAACUUUUGCUCCUUCAAGAUUAACGUUUUGACUGACGAAUAGACCCCAUUUGAACCUGUUGGAAGUAUCUCAAGCCAUUUCCUUGUGUUGACUGAUCAUCUAAAUAGAACCCACAAAGUGUCUUGGAUGAUACUCAAGCUUCAAACAAAAGAUGUUAGUGACACAUUUUUG